UACGGAGGGUGCAAGCGUUUGUCCGGAAUCACUGGGCGUAAAGGGCGCGUAGGCGGCUCGGUAAGUAGGGGGGUGAAAUCCUGCGGCUUAACCGCAGGGCUGCCUUCUAAACUGUCGAGCUCGAGCACGGUAGAGGCAGAUGGAAUUCCCGGUGUAGCGGUGGAAUGCGUAGAGAUCGGGAAGAACAUCAGUGGCGAAGGCGGUCUGCUGGGCCGUUGCUGACGCUGAGGAGCGAAAGCGUGGGGGAGCAAACAGG
rnacentral:rRNA from 1 species